rnacentral:misc_RNA from 1 species
GUCCCGUAAAUGGGAGGAUUGGGAGCUUCCAUGUUAUGUUACUAGUUUUCUUACUAUCGUGAUUCUUGGCGUUGGCCUCAACGCCAAGCCUGAUCUCACAAUUGAGACUUGGGCUCACCAGAAGGCCCUCGAGCGCCUUGAGAUGGAGAAGCUGGGUAUCUCUGGCUCUGGAUCAUCUGAAUCUGAUUGAAUUUCGUGGUCCUUGUGCACUUUCGGGAACUGGGUUGUCUGAUUUUUAUUCCUCCCGUUGGAAAGGGGUUUCGGAUAUAUGGUGGGUUUCAUGAGAUGGUGUCGAUAUCCUGUAGUUCAAUAAGUUUUCCUACAUGUUUUUGCUGACUCUUUUGGAGCUUCAAUAACUGCUUCAUUUUUAACUGUUAGCUUUGGACAUCUUUGACGUCGUAAAUGUCAAGUAUUUGAGAAUUUUAACUUUCUG